UAGUCCUACUACAUGGUGCCCCAGGAAGGAGCAGUGGAGGUGAGCCCUCCAGGCCUGCCUAGAAAGGCCUCAUGGAAGCAGCCAAUCCGAGCCCAGCAGACUCAGAUAAAAGAAGCUGCAAGGGCUUAUCAGGGUAGUUCUUAGUUGGAAUCAGAGGGGGGUGAGGAAGGGUGCUUCUGUCUGACCAAAGGUGCUUGACUGGCGGGAUUUACUGGAUGUGGGAGAGAGAAUAACUGAAAACUUUCACCCUAAGGUUUGGGCUUCCUAACAGGAAUUCAAGAAACCUGUUUUUUUGGGGAAAAGAAUGUCAUCAGCAUAAAUAAAGGAAAACUUUAAAUAUCUCCAACAAUCCAUAAAGACAAAACAAUGGUGAGGUUGACAGUGUCUGCAGCCAAAACAUCAGUCAGCUGAAUGCUUAAAAGUGAAACUGACUGCAUCGAUUUUCAUUGUCCAUGGUGAGAGAAAUACACCCAGUAAGGCCCUGAUCUUCAUGGAAUCUGCUAGUGAGGACCCUACUGAGAUCACUAAUGCAGAGGAUUGUGCUAGCACAUCCCAGUACAGACCUGGGGCCAUAUAGCAUGAUCCUGUUGACUGCAGUGGUGCAGAUCAGGCCCAAAAUG